ACCAGAAUUAUCAUUCGAUCAUCGGGGGAAAGUAUCAAUUAGAGAGUUCAAUUGAUUGAUCAUUUGGCAUGAAGUUGAGGGGAUGAUGGAGAGAGAUUCUAUCGCGUUUUGCUCCUGACAAAUUAAUCCGUUCUCCAAUCAGGGGAGCAAUUGCUCAAUGAUUAUGCAAGAGGAAUCUCACGUGAUGCCUCAAAACACUCGUGUUUAAACCAGUUUCAGAGGUAAAUUAUUUCCAUCAAUUGCGGAUGAAAACUGUGUAUUCAGGCUGUCUUGAUCUUGAAGUGGAUCGAUGUAAACCGAGUGAUGGCAGAAACGAGUACUCGGGUUUAUUUUCUUGCCGAAGAGGAUGAAUUCAUUGGUAUCACCGUGAAUUAUCCCAGCGUGUGUCCAAUAACGUCAAUUUAUAACUGCUCAAACGAGUAUUAUGUCUACAACCCAGUGAAUUAUCGACACUUGUUACUGGAUGGGGCGCAAUCGUCUUCGCAGGAACAAUUGCAAUGGCGUAACGAGAAAAAAAAAAAUUAGAUGAUUCGAGUGCUGGGAACGUCGCAAAUCAGUGAAUGACAGUUCGGGGAAAUGAUUAAUUUAUUUGUCAAUUGUAAAUUGAUUGGGAUUUCGCAUUGGAAUGGUGAAUCACUUGGUGAAAAUAAUUCGAUUAAGGAUUAUUCGUUAAUGAUGAUGACUAUUGAGGAUCCGGGAGCAACUAAUCACUGAUAACCCGACGGUCAAUAUCCAAACGGAUGGAAAUCAUUGGGUGAUGAUUACAGAAGUUUUUCUAUUUUUCUAUUAAUUAAUAAAUUAUACAGACAAAAUACCAAAAUUUUUACGUGUUUAUUAUCAAACGUCAA